GCCGGAGUGGCGGAACCGGUAGACGCAGGGGACUCAAAAUCCCCCGGGCCUCGGCCUGUGAGAGUUCGAGUCUCUCCUCCGGCACCA
rnacentral:tRNA from 1 species